rnacentral:rRNA from 1 species
GGGGAUCGCAAGACCUUGCGCUMUNGGAGCGGCCGAUGUCWGAUUAGCUAGUUGGUGGGGUAAAGGCUCACCAAGGCGACGAUCAGUAGYUGGUCUGAGAGGAYGACCAGCCACACUGGGACUGAGACACGGCCCAGACUCCUACGGGAGGCAGCAGUGGGGAAUUUUGGACAAUGGGCGCAAGCCUGAUCCAGCAAUGCCGCGUGAGUGAAGAAGGCCUUCGGGUUGUAAAGCUCUUUCAGUCGAGAAGAAAAGGCUGUGACUAAUAAUCAUAGCUCAUGACGGUAUCGACAGAAGAAGCACCGGCUAACUACGUGCCAGCAGCCGCGGUAAUACGUAGGGUGCRAGCGUUAAUCGGAAUUACUGGGCGUAAAGGGUGCGCAGGCGGUUUUGUAAGUCAGAUGUGAAAUCCCCGGGCUUAACCUGGGAACUGCGUUUGAAA